GCCGGGCACAGUGGUGUAUGCCUGUAAACCCAGUGGGCUGGGAGGCUGAGGCAGGAGGAUGGCUGGUUCAAAGCCAGCCUCAGCAAAAGCAAGGUGCUAAGCAACUCAGUGAGACCCUGUCUCUA
rnacentral:sRNA from 1 species